rnacentral:lncRNA from 1 species
ACGUUGCCUUCUUAUACAGUCUUUUUUUUUUAUAUGUGAGAGUAUACUGUAUAGUAUGAAUUGUUUCGAAAGAGAAGACGUCUUAAAGAAACACGAGUUAGAUGUAAGAGAUCAAAACCAAGGCAUUAUGAAACGCCAGGUGUGGAGGGUGAGAGAUGAACACAAUACCAUCCUCUAAUCUGUCAUUAUACAAGUCUGGACCACAAUGAUGCUCUGUGAUCACUCCAUGUGGACACUAUGGAACAAAACGGAUAGAGUUUUUUUUUAUUACACCAUCUCUUUGUUUUAUUGGUCAUCAACAUCUGUUUCAUUGUUCAUUUCCAAAAUGUUACAAAAGAGGUAAGAGUAAAAAUAUACUAUAAAAUAUGCAUGCAAGCUUCCUAAGUGCUACAAUAACAAAAUGUUGAAGGAUAUUUGGAUAUGUAUGCCUGGUCCUAUAGACAUUCUUCAGUGGGCAUUCGAUACAGGAAACAACAAAAUUAAUUGUUUGAUUUUAUAAUAGUCAUUGUUAAAAUGCAUGAUACAAUUUGACCAUUUUAAACACAAUAUAACCACAAAUUUGAAAACGUAUUUCCAUUGUGGUCCUGAACAUACACAAAAACAAAAUAUACACAAGAUUAUAAACCGGGUAGUUUGUGUCCUGGAUAUUGACUUGCUGAAAGCCGGGGUAUAUUUAAGCAAUAAGGCCAGAGGGGGGUGGUAUAUGGCCAAUAUACUACAGCUAAGGGCUUUUCUUAAGCGCAAUGUGGCAUACCAUAGCUUCAAUGCCAUACAAAUCUCCUUCCGUGGCCUCCAACUGCUCUAAAUACAAGUAAAACUAAAUGCAUGCUCUUCAACCGAUCGCUGCCUGCACCUGCCCGCCCGUCCAGCAUCACUACUCUGGACGGUUCUGACUUAGAAUAUGUGGACAACUACAAAUACCUAGGUGUCUGGUUAGACUGUAAACUCUCCUUCCAUACUCACAUCAAACAUCUCCAAUCCAAAGUUAAAUCUAGAAUUGGCUUCCUAUUUUGCAACAAAGCAUCCUUCACUCAUGCUGCCAAACAUACCCUCGUAAAACUGACCAUCCUUUCAGAUCCUCGACUUCGGCGAUGUCAUUUACAAAAUAUCCUCCAAUACCCUACUCAAUAAAUUGGAAGCAGUCUAUCACAGUGCCAUCCGUUUUGUCACCAAAGCCCCAUAUACUACCCACCACUGCGACCUGAACGCUCUCGUUGGCUGGCCCUCGCUUCAUACUCGUCACCAAACCCACUGGCUCCAGGUCAUCUACAAGUCUCUGCUAGGUAAAGUCCCCCAUUAUCUCAGCUCGCUGGUCACCAUAGCAGCACCCACCUGUAGUACGCGCUCCAGCAGGUAUAUCUCACUGGUCACCCCCAAAGCCAAUUCCUCCUUCGGCCGCCUCUCCUUCCAGUUCUCUGCUGCCAAUGACCAGAACGAACUACAAAAAUCUCUGAAACUGGAAACACUUAUCUCCCUCACUAGCUUUAAGCAUCAGCUGUCAGAGCAGCUCACAGAUUACUGCACCUGUACAUAGCCCAUCUAUAAUUUAGCACAAACAACUACCUCUUCCCCUACUGUAUUUAUUUAUUUUGCUCCUUUGCACCCCAUUAUUUAUAUUUCUACUUUGCACUUUCUUCCACUGCAAAUCUACCAUUCCAGUGUUUUACUUGCUAUAUUGUAUGUACUUCCACCAUGGCCUUUUUUUGCCUUUAUCUCACCUCAUUUGCUCACAUUGUAUAUAGACUUAUUUUUCUACUGUAUUAUUGACUGUAUGUUUGUUUUACUCCAUGUGUAACUCUGUGUUGUUGUAUGUGUCAAACUGCUUUGCUUUAUCUUGGCCAGGUCGCAAUUGUAAAUGAGAACUUGUUCUCAACUUGCCUACCUGGUUAAAUAAAGGUGAAAUAAAAUAAAUAAAAAAAUGCAAUCCCACUGGGCAAAAACUGGGUCAAUCAACAUAGAUGUUUUUGUUGAAAUGACGUGGAAACAAUGUGAUGACGUUGAAUCUACGUGGGAAAAUGAUCGUAUUUGCAAAAUGUAUUCAACUUACAGGAUUCUUUGUGCCUAGUGUAAUCCUACUAUAGCACAGCAGUCUCAUAUUGGCAACACUGGCUCUGGUGUGAUGGAUAUGAGGGUCUAUAAUAACAUUUAAAUAACCAGACAAUACAAGAUACCAAACCACAGCUCACUAUAUACAAAUACACAACAAGCUCUACAAAAUUAAAUUAAAUUUCUCUUCUAAAUCUCUCAUACUAUCAACACCAAAGUGAGUUAUUGAACAGUUCCAUAUCAGAAUGAAUCCAUCAUUUUACUCCUUUGUCCAAGACAGUUUAGUAGACGGUGUCUUUUCAGAUAGUAAAGGCCUCUGAAAGUAUUUUUACAAACAUAGCAGGUAUGAUGUUUCUGCUUGGAGUGGCUCUGGAUGAGCUUUAGUAGGGCAGAUGCUUCAGACCAGCUCAGUUUCCACUUGGAGCUCUCAGAAACAUGGCUCUCUUGCUUGGGUGUGUUAUUGUGGCGGCAGGUGUUGAGGUACUCCAACCACUUGUUUCUAUGAUUUCGCUCAUGCUUCUUGAGGUGUUCUGCCAUGUGGAAUACUUUGUAACACAUUGAGCAUGAGAAGGGCCUUUCAGUAGAAUGUGUGUACUUGUGGUGCUUCAGAUGAUCCGCCCGGCUGAAGCUUAGGCCACACUCCUCACAUUGGAACACAUUGCCAGCCUUUGUGUGAGUGUGAUAUCUAUGUCUCCGGAGAGAGUUACGGUCCUUGAACGUUGUCCCACAAGCCUUACAAAGAUAACUUCUCAACAUUGUGUGCAUUUUACCGAGGUGGGUCUUUAAGUCCUCCUGCCGCCCUAAUGUAUCUCCAUAACAAUGACUAAGGUGAGGUUUCUCAUUGGUGUGCAGGUUCUCAUGCCGUCUCAAAUGCUCUCGCCUCUUGAACUUUGUACCGCAAUAUGAACAAACAUGGGGAGUUUUGUCCAAAUGGAUCAUUCUGUGUUUUCCCAGCUUUUCCCCAGUACUAAAUUUCUUGCCACACUGGUUGCAUGUAUAACCGUCUGGUCCUGGAUGAUCAACUUCAUGAUGCAACAUCAGUUCCUUUUGAUGUUCACAUCGCUUCUCACACAGUUGGCAGACGUGGUUUGUCACCUGAUGAGUCUUUUCAUGCGUCUGCAACUCUCCUGGAUCCCUGAAUCCAAUGCCACAAUCAAAACAGAUAAAGGAACUGCCAGAAUGAGAACAGCUGUGGCGCUUUAGGUGAUCCUUUCGGCCAAAGUCAAGGCCACAUUCUUCACAGUGGUGCAGCUUGGAGGCUUUUACGUUGCUCUCCCGAAUUCUCCUAGAGUCUUUGCGACCCUUUAAACAUUUUCCACAAAAAUUUAACGAAACAUGAUAUAUGAAACAGUCCCCACAAUCUUUGCAAAUAAAUUGUCUCGAUACAUCUUCCUCUGUCUCUCCUACAGUGUUUAAGUCUAUUUCAGUUGCCUCCAGAUCCCUUUGUGUCGGCAAGCCUUUCAAGGUGUCUUUAAUGAUACAUGUCCUGACAUUGCCUACUGCUUUUAGGGUUUUGCGGUAUUGGUCCGGGUGCAUUUCCCUGGCAUGAUUCUCAAACUCCAGUCCACUGGCAAGCUUUAGGACACAGAGUUGACAAUAGAAAAUAUCCCCCUGUUGGCUCAUCCUACUUGCCUCUAUGAAAGCCUUUACAUGCUUACGCAGGUGGAAGCACUUAUGCUUUUGGAAAAUAUCUGCCUUUUCAAAAUGACGGUCACAUUCACAGCACGUUAAAGAAAAUGUGUUUUUACGCAAGUCAUUUUCCCAAUGAUACAUUUUCUCAUGUUUGGUGCAAGCUUUAAGCUUGUUGAAUGCUCUACCACAAACUGGACAUCUAAUCUGUUGUUUCACUGCCGCUCCGUGCUCCUGUUUAGGCGGCACUAUUUCACUUUUGCCCUGUGCCCAAGCAUGUCUUUUCUGGUGUUUUUGGUAAGAUUUGAAAAACUUAAAAACCUUCCCACAGUCCAGACAAGGAAACAGAGGAGAACGUUUAGAGUCAGGCGGAAAAGGAGGAGAACGUUUAGAGUCAGAAGGAAAAGGAGGAGAACGUUUAGAGUCAGAAGGAAAAGGAGGAGAACGGUUAGAGUCAGAAGGAAAAGGAGGAGAACGGUUAGAGUCAGAAGGAAAAGGAGGAGAAACGGUUAGAGUCAGAAGGAAAAGG